rnacentral:rRNA from 1 species
GAUUAACGCUGGCGGCGUGCAUAACACAUGCAAGUCGAACGAUGAAACUUUUUUGAUUUCUUCGGAAUGAUUAAAAGUGGAUUAGUGGCGGACGGGUGAGUAACGCGUGAGUAACCUGCCUUAGAGAAGGGGAUAGCCUUUGGAAACGAAGAAUAAUACCCUAUGAAACCAUAACCUCGCAUGAGGAAUUGGUCAAAGAUUUAUCGCUCUAAGAUGGACUUGCGUCUGAUUAGUUAGUUGGUGGGGUAACGGCCCACCAAGACAGCGAUCAGUAGCCGGCUUGAGAGAGUGUACGGCCACAUUGGGACUGAGACACGGCCCAGACUCCUACGGGAGGCAGCAGUGGGGAAUUUUGCACAAUGGGGGAAACCCUGAUGCAGCGACGCCGCGUGAUUUAGAAGGCCUUCGGGUUGUAAAAAUCUUUUCUAUGGGAAGAAAAUGACAGUACCAUAGGAAUAAGGACCGGCUAAUUACGU